rnacentral:rRNA from 1 species
AGUCAACGUUGGCGGCGUGCUUAACACAUGCAAGUCGAACGAUCCUUGAGUGGCUUGCCAUUCAAGGAGAGUGGCAAACGGGUGAGUAACACGUGAGUAAUCUGCCCUCGAGUGGGGAACAACCUCGCGAAAGCGGGGCGUAAUACCGCAUAAUAUUCUGGAGUAUAAGCUUUCAGAAUCAAAGCCCUCAGGGGCGCUUGAGGAUGAGCUUGCGUCCUAUUAGCUUGUUGGUAGGGUAAUGGCCUACCAAGGUAAUGAUGGGUAGCCGGCCUGAGAGGGUGUACGGCCACACUGGGACUGCGACACGGCCCAGACACCUACGGGAGGCAG